rnacentral:rRNA from 1 species
UACGUAGGGUGCAAGCGUUGUUCGGAAUUAUUGGGCGUAAAGCGCGUGUAGGUGGUUCAAUAAGUCGGAUGUGAAAUCCCCUGGCCUAACCAGGGAAGUGCAUCCGAAACUGUUAAGCUAGAGGACGGUAGAGGAAGGUGGAAUUCCUAGUGUAGAGGUGAAAUUCGUAGAUAUUAGGAGGAAUACCUGUGGCGAAGGCGGCCUUCUGGGCCGUUCCUGACACUGAGACGCGAAAGCGUGGGGAGCAAACAGG